GCUUGCCAUCUGCUCUGCGCGGUCUCCGGGUGCUCGCAAAGGUGGCUGGCGCGUCCCGUCCCGUCCCGUCCAGACGCGUAGGGGAGCCCGUCGAGCCCCUGUGAGUCGGGGUUCGGGUUAGGGCUCAACGCGGAGGUCAGCCAGUCCCGGGAGUUAGAGAAUUUGCCGCCAUCCCCUGGGCAGCCCUCUUCUCAUUCUCAUUGGCCAGACGGGCGUCACGUGCCUACGCGUCGCCCAAUCACGGGCAGGAUGAGGGCCAAUCAGAAGGCUUGUCUGUAGCCGGUGGGCUUGCAGGUGCACCCCUGGGGAAGCCGGUUCGGCAAGACCUCGCGGAGGCGGGCGGUGGCGUGGGGACUCCGGAGCCGGCGGUCCCACCCCGCGGCGAGUGUCCUAGCAGCUCUUGGCUCACUCGCUGGGCCUGGACGCCAGCCCAGUGCCCACCACCUGGGGAGUGGAGGGGUCAGCUCUGGAAGGUCCUCGGCAAGGCGCACCCGCACAGCCCCGCGCCGGGACGGGGAGACCUCGACGACGUGGCAGCCAGAGACAAAAGUGCCCUGUGUUCGUCUCCUGGGACCACAGGCCGGGGCUUGAAUAGCAGACGUUUAUUCUCUCACGUUCUGGAGGCUGGGAGUUCAAAACCACGGCGUGGGCAGGUGGGUUCUCCUGAGGCCUCUCUCCUUGGCCUGUAGACGGCCGUCUUCUCCCUGUGUCUUCACGUGGUCGUCCCUCUGUGUCUCUAUGUCCUGAUCUCCUCUUAUAAGGACACCUGCCAUACUGGAUCAGGGCUCACCCAGGUGACCCAUUUUGACUUGGCUACCUCUUUUUUCUUUUUUAAGUUUAUUUAUUUAUUUUGAGAGGGGGCGGAGAGAGAGAGAGAGGCAGAGAGGGGGACAGAGAGAAUCCCAAGCAGACUCUGGGCUGUCGGUGCAGAGCCCACGCAGGGCCCGAACCCACAAACUGUGAGUUCAUGACCUGAGCCAAAACUGAGAGUCAGAUGCUCAACGGACUGAGCCACCCAGGCACCCCUAACUUAAUCGCCUCUUGAAAGACCCUACCUCCAAAUACAGUCACAUUCUGCGAUAUUGAGGGUGAGGGCUUGAACAUGUGAAUUUUGGGGGGGACACAACUCAGCCCAUAAACUCUUUAAGUUGUAGUUCAUGCAGCCGUAAAAGGACAGUAAGAAUGCCAUCGGUGUCCUAAGGGGUGUCCCAAGGACCACGUGCGAUCCUUUAACUUCCGAGCGUCCAAGAAAGGGCAUCUUCCGAGUGUGCAGACCAGACCCGUUUGCCACUCUCUGACCCCUUCUCUGCCCUUCCCCACCCUGCUCCGGCCCCGGAGGGCUGACCUCUGUGGACCUGCUCCCUCAGGCUGCCCUCAGACUUGCUGCUGGGCUCAGCCAGUGGGAGGCGCCCGCAGGAGACUGGAGGGUGGCCGAGAGAGGCCAGGGUACUUCUCCUUCACUCCUCCCUGCCUGGCCUUGGUUCUGGAAGGGGCUGUGCCCUCCUCUUUGGGUCACAGAUCCUGUCCGGGGGCCCCUCCCUCAGCUAUGAAGUCCGUUUCCUGCUUUUGACCCUGGAGGACAACACCUUCUGUUGUGUGUUCCUCAAACCCAGCCCAGGCUUGUGCAAUAGCCCUUUCCCCGAACCCCAUUGUUCCCCUCUGAGUAAGGCUCCCAUGCACCUCGUGGAU
rnacentral:lncRNA from 1 species